AUUUUCAUAGGGGAUCACAUCAGCCUCCCAGUUGCCUUCAAGGGGCUGAAUGUAAUUUUAAGACUGUAUAUAUGUAACUACUUCUUAUGGUUAAGUGAAAGCUCAGCACUGACACCAGGUAGAAACAAGGUGCCAGGCCAGAUAAAACAAGGUGGAGGGCCGGAUUUGGCCCACGGGCCUUGUGUUUGCCACCUGUGUUCUACAGCUACCAGGCUAAGAUACAGAAAUGA